ACUCAGGGUCCGUUAAUGAUGCUGUAACAAGUAGUGUCAAGCCGGAGUCCACCAUCGAUGCUGUGACCCCAGUGUCAAGCCAGAAUUAUCUGAAGGAAGAGGCAGUAAGAACCAGGGUUUCAAAUCGCGGUCGCAGUCGCGUUUUCGGUUAUUUCGGAUUUACCGUGAUUGCGGCCGUCGCGGACGCUAUUGCGGCCGUCGCGGGUAACUCGGACAGCGGCGAAACCGCUAUAUCGCGGUCGCGGACCAUUUUUUGAAACCCUGGUGCUAAACCAGAAUUUCAAGUGGAAAGGAAACUAGAAGUUGAUGACCCAAGUGAAGUGCUACAAAUAAUGCAGAUGCAGGCUAUUGCUUCUUCCGAUGAAGUCCGUGAAGCCUUGAAGGAUGAACAUCUUCGAAAACUUAUCUCUGAUAUUGAUAGCUCCCCGG